UACAGAGGUCUCAAGCGUUGUUCGGAUUCAUUGGGCGUAAAGGGUGUGCAGGUGGCGCCGUAAGUCGGGUGUGAAAUUUCGGAGCUUAACUCCGAAACUGCAUUCGAUACUGCGGUGCUUGAGGACUGGAGAGGAGACUGGAAUUCAUGGUGUAGCAGUGAAAUGCGUAGAGAUCAUGAGGAAGACCAGUGGCGAAGGCGGGUCUCUGGACAGUUCCUGACACUGAGACACGAAGGCCAGGGGAGCAAACGGG
rnacentral:rRNA from 1 species